UACGGAGGGUGCAAGCGUUAUCCGGAUUCACUGGGUUUAAAGGGUGCGUAGGCGGGCAUGUAAGUCCGUGGUGAAAUCUCCGAGCUUAACUCGGAAACUGCCAUGGAUACUAUGUGUCUUGAAUAUUGUGGAGGUAAGCGGAAUAUGUCAUGUAGCGGUGAAAUGCUUAGAUAUGACAUAGAACACCUAUUGCGAAGGCAGCUUACUACGCAUAUAUUGACGCUGAGGCACGAAAGCGUGGGGAUCAAACAGG
rnacentral:rRNA from 1 species